rnacentral:rRNA from 1 species
UACGGGGGGGGCAAGCGUUGUUCGGAAUUACUGGGCGUAAAGGGCUCGUAGGCGGCCAACUAAGUCAGACGUGAAAUCCCUCGGCUUAACCGGGGAACUGCGUCUGAUACUGGAUGGCUAGAGGUUGGGAGAGGGAUGCGGAAUUCCAGGUGUAGCGGUGAAAUGCGUAGAUAUCUGGAGGAACACCGGUGGCGAAGGCGGCCAUCUGGACGACGACUGACGCUGAGACGCGAAAGCGUGGGUAGCAAACAGG